GACUGUCCUCUGAGAGGCUCUACAAGCAACUAACUGAGACAGACGCGGACACUUUCAGGCAACCAGUUAACUGAGAUCUGGUACUCCUAUUGAAGGUUUAGCGGAAGGAUUGAAGAUUCUUCAUCCAUUGGCGCCUUCAGUCAGUUUCCCUCAGAGAAGAAAGAAUCCCAUUUGGUACCACCUCACCCUGGGACAUUUAGUUCUAGCUCACUGAGGUCCAACAGACAGUCCUGGUAGGGAAGGAGAUCCAAUGACAGACAAAAGAGUGCCAGGCAAGAGCCUAGCAUCUCUGCCUAAGGAGAGGCUCUAACAGCAGCUGACUGAGAAAGAUGCAGAUACUUACAGCCAACCAUUGGACUGA
rnacentral:sRNA from 1 species